rnacentral:lncRNA from 10 species
UGGAAUGGAAAGAACAAUUUUGUGGGGAGGGAGGAGUGUUGAAUAAGCUCUCCUUUGUCUGCUUAGGUCCUCCCUUACCCAUUGUCAUCUUCUGGGACUUUUUACAGUUGUUUGUAGUAAGAGAACUCCCAUUUUCAUCAGUGGAACUGGACAACUACACUGGUCCAAUUCAGGCAAAUGGAUAGAGUUCACAGCACCAAACCAGGUAGGAGUCAAGCCACAGACUGUCUGUCUUUACUCAGAGAUAAGUGGCCAUUAUCAUCCUUGUGCCUCUUUGUACUUUACUUUGACCAAAUGAUCCCUUUGGCUUUCGACUUACCUGGAAUCUGCUGCUUAAACUGGCUAGCCUUUAUUGGCAUUCAGGAUCUGUGGGUGGAAAUUGGUUGCUGGUAUUUCUGAGAUGUGAAAAUCCUUACCCACCUACUUUGGUUGAAGUGGUUCUAGAUUGCAAAGUAUUGAAUACGGCCGUUUACUUAUAUAAAAAAUACAAUAGAACCUUGUAUAUACAUAGACUACCCUCUGGGGAAGAAGAGGUAGGCUUUGGGAAACAGAGUCAAGGUAGACUUUGACUUAUCUCUACUAUUUGAAUUUUUCAUAGUGAGAAUAUAUUUGUAUGUUAUUUAUAUAAUUAAAAUAUCUUUAAAAAAUAAGUUUAGUUGAGAGACAAAAAUAAUUAAUGUCACGUUCUCAAUUCUAUAUCAAGGCUGGAAAUAAGAGAAAAAUCCCAAUUCUCAGUAAGAUUGCACACAUUUUAAUGAAACAACAAAAGGAGAGACAGGAAGCAUUCCUAGAGGUCUCUGGUGAAGAAACCUUCAUAUUCUUAUGAAGGAAUGACUCAUGGAUGACUCAUGGUCUGUAGCUCCUUCCCCAGUCACUCCCAAUUCUUGACUAAAAAUAUUUGCAUUUCUUCCUAGUGCCAUCUUCCUCCCACUCUAUGCAGUGCCAGCUUGUGCCACUACCAUUUUGUGACCUCCCCUUUCUGCUGCUGACCUGAUGUUUAUGGGAGAUCAAUUUUCAUUCUCAUCCAUCACUACCAGUAUGUCAGUCACUGUGCCUUCCCAGUCCCUAGCCACUUCUAAAGGAACUAGGUGCACCCACAACUUUCCUGGGGUGACUAAACCUGGCUGGACCCCUAACUCAGGGCAGCCCAGACCUCUAGGCUUGUUAGAAGCCCAUGAGAUAUUCCAGCAUGAAAAGCCUUUCCAAACAAGGUAAAGCUGGCUUCAGCAGUCUAAUUCUCAGGAACUAGAAUUAAGAAACACUGAGAAAAUGGAGCAGUAUAUACUGAGAGUUGUUGAGAUACUGCAAAAGAAAGAAGCCUUGAAGAAGAGUGGAGACCAUGAGGGGUCAUAAGUCACUUAAAGUAGAGAGGGAGCACAAUCAAGGGGCGGAUAGGCGUUAAGAGAAAGAUUGUGAGAAAAAGGUGGGAAAGCCAGUCAAUGAUGAAAGAGAACCAGAGAUGCCCCAAAAAACAAACUUGCAGAGGGUCAGUGGGUCAUGUUAAUGGUGAGUGGCCUUCCAGAAGACCCAGAAGAUCCCACACUCGCACUCCCAGAAUUGUCUUGGCAUCUAAACAACUUUCUCAUUCGUCGCCUUGAGACCUGGCUCUGACAACAUUCCUACCCUUUCUGAAAGCUGGUGGUUCUGCUUUUCCUGGGUUUCCUGAGACUUUGUCAUGAGCCUGAGAUCACUGGCUCCUCUUUUCUAAAGGAAUGGACAUAGCACAUUCUUCAUUACUUGAGGUGACCUAAGUCUUAUUCUUAAAACCAAGAGAACCUAAUUCAAAUGGUCAGUCCUCUUACUACAAAAGGCAGAAUGGAAACAGCUGAGCAGAGUGGGAAAGCUGUGGCCUUCAAAGCAGACUGGUCUGAGUUUCAAUCCAGAACCUGCCAAAUGUGAGCUGUGAGACUUUUUGGGCAAGUUAUCUAACUAUAACACUUCUAAGAGUCGUCCUUUUUAUCUUUAAAUGGCUCCAGUUCAGAAUGGCAGAGUGAUCCAACAAUGGUUUAUAUAAGCUGCUGGCCUGAUGCCUGACACAGACUUAACACUCAAUACAAGUUCAUACCUUUCCUUCUUCUCUCUGGAUACUUCCUGUCUUGCACAAUAAAGCCCAAACUACCCCACCCCUCCAGUGGCAGUAGCUAUGGUUAAAAUUGUCUGCUUCCUGUCUCACUGGGUUCUGCUGUUUUGUGUUCACACACUUCAAGAGUGAAACUCAAUCUGUUCAAAGCUGUAAACAUGAACUUUGGGUCAGAGUUCGGUCCCCUUUCAUUUAGUAUCUACCAAAAGUUAAUUAGAAGCACCAUAAUGCAAUCAGUUUUUCAGGGCAGGGUGGUGGUGGGGAUUACUUUCUUCAUAUCUACACUCAUUCAGCCUGCCAUCAACAAACAUUUAUUGAGUCACCAUUGUGUGUAAAGGUACUAUAAAGAUAGAAGGAUCACAGCAUUACACACAACGAAAUUGAGGUACACAGUGACCCACACAGCCACAGGAAAUUAAUAUAACUGCGAAGGAAAAGAUUUCCCCUGCUCGAGUCUCCCUGCACUCCUACCCAUCUGAGAGAAACAGAACUGUUGAGUAGCUGAUGCAAUUUCAUCCAUAAUAUUGUGGAUUCACCAUUGAUUCAGCAUCUGAUCCUCAGCACUGUAUAUCUAAGAACUCAUUCUCCUUGGUUCAUCAGGCAUGAUCAGAUUAAGGAUUCAUACACACUGACCUAACUCACAGGAGAGAGUUAUAAAUCAGAACACCAAUUUAUUGCCUUGUUCAUGGAAAUAGAAACACUACAUGUGUCAGCUUACUCAGAUCAGCAGCUAAACACUGUUCAGUGUUGAUUGGGAAAUAUAAAGCCAGAAUGAAGGCAGCUGGUUCAUCUUGAUAGCAAAUGUUACCAAAUCUCAUAGUCUGGUGCCCUAAUCUCCAUGGGAUUAGAACAUGUACAUCGACCAGAGAGGUUCUCUUUCUCCUGACUAUGCUGGGACAUUCUGGCAAAUUCUGACUCAUCACUCCCUUUCUAGAAUCCUUAAAGACCAUCAUCACGCUAUUUCAAGAAUAUUCCUUCAGAUGUGUUACAAAGAUUAAAUGUUGAUUUAUGGUAUCUCUAAAGAUUUGGAUUGUAGUCUCAUCAGAAAUAUUUAUUUAUAAGCCAUCUCUUCAUUCACUCGUUGAUUCAUCCAGAAAUGCUAUUCAGUAUUUAUUAAGUGCCAGGCGUUGUGCUAAGAUUUGAGACACAGAGAUAAGAUAAAGGUCCCAUUCUCCAAGACUCUUGUUUUUUUAGUGGAUUAAAAGCUGCUAAUGUAUUCCUUCUGUAGAUAUACAUAAUUUCACCAAUUUCUUGUGACUUCAUGAACCUUAUUUUUGCAAGACAACAUGUCCUAAUUCUUGUCAAAUUUAGGGAUGGUGGUAUUGGGGAGCUACAAACCAGUCAAAUCAAUUCAAUGAAAAAUCCUAUUAUUUGAACAAUUUUAAUCACAUCUGAUUUUGACUAUUUUAUCUAAGUGUUAACAUUUCACUAGUUGAGUGUUACAAUGAGCCUAGCAUUUAAACAGUCUUAGUUAUGUUAACAUUCUUAAAAACAGAGAAGUGGCAGCCAGGCACGGUGGCUCAUGCCUGUAAUCCCAGCACUUUGGGAGGCCGAGGCGGGCGGACGCCUGAGGUCAGGAGUUCAAGACCAGCCUGACCAACACGGAGAAACCUCGUCUCUACUAAAAAUACAAAAUUA